GACGAACGCUGGCGGCGUGCUUAACACAUGCAAGUCACGGGGGCCCGCAAGGGUAACCGGCGAACGGGUGCGUAACACGUGAGCGACCUGCCUUUCCGCGGGGGAUAGCCGGCCCAACGGCCGGGUAAUACCGCAUACGCUGCUCGAGGGGCAUCCCUUGAGUAGGAAACCUCCGGGGCGGAGAGAGGGGCUCGCGACCUAUCAGCUAGUUGGCGAGGUAACGGCUCACCAAGGCGGCGACGGGUAGCUGGCUGAGAGGAUGGCCAGCCACAUUGGGACUGAGAUACGGCCCCAGACUCCUACGGGAGGCAGCAGUGGGGAAUAUUGCGCAAUGGCCUAACGGCUGACGCAGCGACGCCGCGUGUGGGAGGACG
rnacentral:rRNA from 1 species